rnacentral:rRNA from 1 species
AAUCAACGCUGGCGGCGUGCCUCAGACAUGCAAGUCGAACGCGAAAUUCCCUUUCGGGGGAGAGUAGAGUGGCGCACGGGUGAGUAACACGUAGGUAAUCUACCUCUGGGUGGGGAAGUAACAGCCGGAACGGCUGCUAAUACCGCAUAAUGCAGCGGCAUCAAAUAGAUGACAGUUGUUAAAGCGGGGGAGUCCUGAAAGGGACCUCGCGCCUGAAGAGGAGCCUGCGGCAGAUUAGCUAGUUGGUAAGGUAAAGGCUUACCAAGGCGACGAUCUGUAGCCGGCCUGAGAGGGCGGUCGGCCACACUGACACUGACAUACGGGUCAGACUCCUACGGG